rnacentral:rRNA from 1 species
CAGUCGCCGCGGUAAUACGAAGGGUGCAAGCGUUAAUCGGAAUUACUGGGCGUAAAGCGUGCGUAGGCGGUUUGUUAAGUCUGUUGUGAAAUCCCCGGGCUCAACCUGGGAAUGGCAAUGGAUACUGGCAAGCUAGGGUGUGUCAGAGGAUGGUGGAAUUCCCGGUGUAGCGGUGAAAUGCGUAGAGAUCGGGAGGAACAUCAGUGGCGAAGGCGGCCAUCUGGGACAACACUGACGCUGAGGCACGAAAGCGUGGGGAGCAAACAGGAUUAGAUACCCGCGUAGUCCCUGUCUCUUAUAC